GUGGGGAUAACAUUUGGAAACAGAUGCUAAUACCGCAUAAACCUAACACCGCAUGGUGUAGGGUUGAAAGAUGGUUUCGGCUAUCACUUUAGGAUGGACCCGCGGUGCAUUAGUUAGUUGGUGAGGUAAAGGCUCACCAAGACCGUGAAUGCAUAGCCGACCUGAGAGGGUAAUCGGCCACACUGGGACUUGAGACACGGCCCAGACUCCUACGGAGGCAGCAGUAGGGAAUCUUCCACAAUGGACGAAAGUCUGAUGGAGCAACGCCGCGUGAGUGAAGAAGGUUUUCGGAUCGUAAACUCUGUUGUUGGAGAAGAAUGUAUCUGAUAGUAACUGAUCAGGUAGUGACGGUAUCCAACCAGAAAGCCACGGCUAACUACGUG
rnacentral:rRNA from 1 species